GUACUUCAUCGAUCCGCAGAUGAUGCCUAGCUGAUAGAGGGCGAAGAUGAGAAGAAGGCCGACGAAACAGAUGAUGGGCCCCUUUCGGCCGCCUCUGCUCAGCAAAAACGACAUGUCGUCGUUGCGAACGACGACCACGUUACCCAAGUGCACGUACUCGGACGUGUUUUGGGCGACACGUGGGUGAUGCGGAUGCAGACGUCACGAUGGGGUGGUGGUCACGGCGGGUUACUCGAGGCCAAGGUUUCAGGGCCUCGUGUUCCCGGUUACGCCAUUAGCUCAUUGCACCUCGGUGAUCGUUUUUCGUGAUAAACGUAUCGUGAUGGAUUCUUCUUGCUCGUCCUUCGUCGUCGUUCUCCUGCUCGUCCCUCUUUGCCUUUCACUGUUUCGCAACGUGUCAGCAGAAGAAUUGAUCAAACACUAGAUUCAAAAUAGUCACUUAUCACGAAUAUCGUGCACGAGAUUCACUAUGAUAAAAUUAGGAGAGACGCAGAAACAUCGUACACCCGUACCGGUACAAACACACUACGAAACGCGGUACGAACACGACUGCUCCAUACCGUACCAUGGAU